UACAGAGGUCCCAAGCGUUGUUCGGAUUCAUUGGGCGUAAAGGGUGCGUAGGCUGCGUCAUAAGUCGGAUGUGAAAUCCCGGGGCUCAACCCUGGAACUGCAUUCGAUACUGUGGUGCUAGAGGACUCUAGAGGAAAUUGGAAUUCACGGUGUAGCAGUGAAAUGCGUAGAUAUCGUGAGGAAGACCAGUGGCGAAGGCGGAUUUCUGGAGAGUUCCUGACGCUGAGGCACGAAGGCCAGGGGAGCAAACGGG
rnacentral:rRNA from 1 species